rnacentral:rRNA from 1 species
UGCCUGUAAGACUGGGAUAACUCCGGGAAACCCGGGCUAAUACCGGAUGCUUGUUUGAACCGCAUGGUUCAAACAUAAAAGGUGGCUUCGGCUACCACUUACAGAUGGACCCGCGGCGCAUUAGCUAGUUGGUGAGGUAACGGCUCACCAAGGCAACGAUGCGUAGCCGACCUGAGAGGGUGAUCGGCCACACUGGGACUGAGACACGGCCCAGACUCCUACGGGAGGCAGCAGUAGGGAAUCUUCCGUAAUGGACGAAAGUCUGACGGAGCAACCCCGCGUGAGUGAUGAAGGUUUUCGGAUCGUAAAGCUCUGUUGUUAGGGAAGAACAAGUACCGUUCGAAUAGGGCGGUACCUUGACGGUACCUAACCAGAAAGCCACGGUUAACUACGUGCCAGCAGCCGCGGUAAUACGUAGGUGGCAAGCGUUGUCCGGAAUUAUUGGGCGUUAAGGGCUCGCAGGCGGUUUCUUAAGUCUGAUGUGAAAGCCCCCGGCUCAACCGGGGAGGGUCAUUGGAAACUGGGGAA